GAUGAACGCUGGCGGCGUGCCUAAUACAUGCAAGUCGAGCGAACAGACGAGGAGCUUGCUCCUCUGACGUUAGCGGCGGACGGGUGAGUAACACGUGGAUAACCUACCUAUAAGACUGGGAUAACUUCGGGAAACCGGAGCUAAUACCGGAUAAGAUAUUGAACCGCAUGGUUCAAUAGUGAAAGACGGUUUUGCUGUCACUUAUAGAUGGAUCCGCGCCGCAUUAGCUAGUUGGUAAGGUAACGGCUUACCAAGGCAACGAUGCGUAGCCGACCUGAGAGGGUGAUCGGCCACACUGGAACUGAGACACGGUCCAGACUCCUACGGGAGGCAGCAGUAGGGAAUCUUCCGCAAUGGGCGCAAGCCUGACGGAGCAACGCCGCGUGAGUGAUGAAGGUCUUCGGAUCGUAAAACUCUGUUAUUAGGGAAGAACAAAUGUGUAAGUAACUAUGCACGUCUUGACGGUACCUAAUCAGAAAGCCACGGCUAACUACGUG
rnacentral:rRNA from 1 species